rnacentral:rRNA from 1 species
UAGGGAAUCUUCCACAAUGGACGCAAGUCUGAUGGAGCAACGCCGCGUGAGUGAAGAAGGCUUUCGGGUCGUAAAACUCUGUUAUUGAAAAAGAACGUGUGUGACAGUAACUGGUCAUGCAGUGACGGUAUUCAAUCAGAAAGUCACGGCUAACUACGUGCCAGCAGCCGCGGUAAUACGUAGGUGGCAAGCGUUGUCCGGAUUUAUUGGGCGUAAAGCGAGUGCAGGCGGUCUUUUAAGUCUGAUGUGAAAGCCUUCGGCUUAACCGAAGAAGGGCAUCGGAAACUGGGAGACUUGAGUGCAGAAGAGGAGAGUGGAACUCCAUGUGUAGCGGUGAAAUGCGUAGAUAUAUGGAAGAACACCAGUGGCGAAGGCGGCUCUCUGGUCUGUAACUGACGCUGAGGCUCGAAAGCGUGGGUAGCAAACAGGAUUAGAUACCCUGGUAGUCC